rnacentral:lncRNA from 1 species
UUCUCCACAUGUUCACAUGAAAUCUAAAUAGAUUAAGUAGAAUACAUGUGCAAAGUACAUCUGUUUGGAUGACAAGAAAAAUACACAAUAAAUAUCGUGUAUUAGGUAAUAUUAGUGAGAUACGACUAAUUACAUGAUUGAACCUCAUCAAAUUAAAUUAAAUAUAUACAUUAUUGCGUUUAACUAAUAAAACUUUUGAUUGCCCAUCUUCUUGGUUCGAUUUCCUGGGGAAAGGGGCAGAACCAUCCCCACCUUAUCAAGACAAUUUGGUACUUGUUUUCAAACCCAUCUAAAAAGGCAAUCAAUCAGAAUUGAGAAAAUAAUUCGAAAAAUCUUGGUAAACACUGGAAUCUUUACCCCGUUGAUCCAAAUCCUGUAAAAAAAGAUGAUAUUUACAAGGACGGGAAGCGGUAUCGAACAAGAAGAGCUGGAAGCGAAGCACCCUUUGAAAAGCUUCUAUCUGUGAAUAAGAGAUAUAUAUGAUGAUCCACAUUGAAUAUUCACAAAAGAAUCUGUAAUAUUAUUUUGUGCAAAGCUUAUUAUUCAAAUCUUAGCUUAAUUUUUCUGAAUUGAUAUUCAGUGCAACACACGUGUCAAAAGACUAAUAUAUAUAUAUAUAUACUUAUUUCUAUUAUUUUUCUUCAUUGAGAUGCUUUAUUUUGUUUCUUUCUAGCUCUUCCAAUCCAUUAGCCAAUUCUUGUUUGUUCCAGUCUAAGGGUUAGGCUUACAUCUCAAUGGGUUUUAGUAGUUUUCAUCAUGACCCAGAGUAAAGGUCAUGACAUGUGAAUACAAAAAUGGAUAAAAUCUGCAGUUGUUGCAAAUCUUGUUUUAAUUUGCAAACUGGAAACUAAAUAAUAACCAUGCUUUCAGGGUUAACCAUUUAUUGUAGGUAAGAAAAAGUUUUAUAAUCUAAAAAAUAAGUUAAAAAUAUUUAACAAUAUUCGACUUAGUUAUUAUUUAGUCGCAAUAACAACGUAUUUAAAAUGAAAUCUCUUCUUUCAAAAGUGAAUAUCAUAAUGAAUCUCAAGUAUUUUCAAGCGAUAAUUCAUUCAAGAAUCCAAUGAAAAAUCUAUAUAUCAUGAUAUUAAAAGAAAUAUAAUGAUUUUUUUAUUCACUUGAUUACUCAUUUAUUUAGUUCUGAAUAAUUUAAGUUGGAAGUCGGUUCCAUCUUCAUCAUCAUUGUCAUCUUCUUCUUUAUUGUUGUUUACAUUUUUCAUCUAAGCCACAUUAUAUUUAGUUACAUUGAGAAUGACAGAGACCGGGAGAGAAUUAUAUUAUAUAUAAUGAGUAACGAACUAGGGUUUUCUAAAUGUUAUUAUAAAAUUUUGAACAAGAAAAAAGUUUGAAAGAUUUUUUGGACCGAAAAAGUUUGUAAUAACAUUUCGAACACCCUAACCAUUAUCCCUCAUAUAUAUUAUGGUGUUUUAAUAGUUCUUCUCAUAUUAAAUACAACUAAACCUAAUGCGACUGGGAUGAAUAAGGCCACAACAAUGAAAAAGAGAAUGAGUGUGAUAAUGAUAAAGUAUAUUUCCAACAUGAAUUCUUCAAAACUGAAUCAAUGAGUAUUCAAGUUCAUAAACUUUUCUCUUCAUUAUAGUUCCUUUAUUUGACGAUAUAUUGAUUUAUCAUUGAAUUCUUCACUGAAUUAUAACAUCCAAAUAGUCUAGUUUUCUUAGAACGUUGAUAUUUGAAUAUAAACCUUAAAUUUUAAUACGUUGUUGUGUGUAAUUAAAUACAAAUUAAUUCGAUUGUUGUUAAAUCUUUUAAGCUUAUGUUUUUAGUUUUUCUUAUCUAGAAUAAAUUGUUAAUUCAAUGUUGAAAGAAGGGAUAUUAUUCAGAUUUCCUAUAUUCAAAUUAAAACAAAACCUGUAACAAUUACUUUAUUGUUUUAUCCGAUAAAGUAUUCACAUUUGGUAAAUAUAUAUAUGUAAUAUCAUCUAUAUUGAAUAUAUAAUAGUAGUAGUAACACUUUUGUUUUGAAAUAGAGGGUUCCAUUGCAUAUUGAUAUACAAAAUAGGUGGAUUUAGUUGGACUCAUAUUGUUGGUGUUGUCAAACUUCUUAUCAGGAGACCAUGUCUAACUUAUCUCUAACCUCUUCCAUAACCUUAAGACUAUGAAAGUUGUUUGCUAGUUUUGCAUGUUUAAAUCAUGAGACAUUAAAACUAUUUCAGGUAAUACUAAAAUUGUGGAAAAAAUAGUUUGUCAAAAGUAGAAGAAUAUAUUCAUCCUAGUGUCGUUCAUCGUUAUGUGGAACUUGCAAGAUAAGAAAAUAGUCAAAGUGAUGGGAAGACGGUCUUUUUAUAGUUUAGUUGUGAAUGUUAGCAUGGAUAGUUUAAGACUAGAAAGUAAUUCAUACCCUACGUAGAAAUAAAUUCUUUUUUUGUCAAGAAAUUGUGUAUUACAUCGAGAAAUAUGAACCAAAGCCUUAAUAUCUAAUUAUUUGUUGGAAGCCACUACAACAAGAACAAUCAAAAUGCAAUACAUAUGGGGCAAUCUAAAUAGUAGAUCCUAUGGCUUCUAUAUGAGAAUCAUAAAAGAGAAUUACUGUGUGUCAAAAGAUAGGAAGUUCAUUGAAUUGGCAACAUAGAUGCAAAGGCAAUUAUUAUUAGGAAAGCGAUAUACCAUUCUGUCUCUAUGGGGCUUUCCAAGGGAAAAGUAGAAACUGACUUGCUAGUCCUUGUUAAAAUUCUUUCAAGGUAGUGAGAUAUUACAUUUCACAUAACAAAUAUAGUUGAGCACAUCAUGAAGUUAUCACAAAAAUUCCAUGUGAUGCUAACACACAUCUAAAGAGAAGUAAACACACUAGCAUAUUGCAUUGUCAAUCAAGCCUUUGGUAAGAAAUAAAUAAUCAUUUUUACUACAUUUAUAACAUUACCAAAUAAAACAAAGGUAUUUUCAAUUUUCUCAAGCAACAAAUGUACAACUAAAGAAUAAAUUCUAAAAAUUUAAAUCUGAAUAUUAGGGAAGAGGAGGAACACAUCAUCAUAAGACUACGAGUACAAAACUUCUGUUAUUUUGUCGGAUGCUCAUACACAACAAGGACACCACACAAAUACAAAGGUGAAGGAUUCAACUAAAGACCAACAUAAAAUACACAGGUGAAUGACAAAGCUAAUGCUUCAAGAUAGAUUCAACCUACAAUGCCAUAGAUAUUAAAUAAGUUAUGGGGGAGUGAGUAAAUAAGGCUAGAUCGGUACCACAGAAGAACACUGAUGUAUUAUAUCAUUGACACAAAAGUUUCUCGGAUCUACGAUACACAAAAGGGUAACACUCUAAGAGCAACCACCGCAUAGAUAGACAAAAAAGCAAGAUCGAAAAUCCGUACUGUUUCGAAGCAUAAGAUUUUCCUCAAAGCAGCUUCAACAUUUCCUACAACAUCAAAUUCAACUUAGUAAUAAAUGAGUAGAAGGAAGAAUAUGUAGAGGAAAACAAGGAAAUACUCACCAACUAGAAGAAAGAGCUCAACUCCUUGACCAUCAUAGCAGAUCCAGAGCUUUCAUAGGAACCUAUAAGUUUGAGUCGAAUAAAAAACCCUUUGUUUGCAUAUGUGACUCAGGUGUGGACAAAUGAGAUAUUAUAUUGGAGGCUCAUAGAUAGGAUCAAAACCUAUUUUUUAGAUGGGCCGGUCACUUUUGGACCUGCUUAUUGCUAGACCUGUUUGUUGUCAAUAACUACAGGGUCUAACAUGCCAAAAAACUUUUAUAAAAUAUAUUCUUUUAAAAAAAUGUAAAGAGAAUUUUAUAAUUUUGUAAUCUUAAACUAAAGAUAUGUGUAAUGUAACUAAAUUUUAGUUAAUAUUGUUAUCUUAACAUGCCACGUGGAAUAUUGGAAAUAAAGAGUUACCAAAUUAGUAAAAAGAUAUUCAUUUCCAAAUAGACAAAAAAGAAACAUAAGCCAAAUAAAUUGAAACAGAGAAUACUUGUUCAGACUUAGAAUCUCCACCUUCACAUGAGACAUAUAUUAUAUUCAUUUCAUGAAAAAUUAUGACCUUAUCAAAUCCCAUUCAUUUUGAAAAUGAAAUACGAGUAUUGAAUGGUCAUGUAAAUAACCUCAAAUAAGCUAUGUUGCAUAGUGUACAGUAAGAAGAUGUAUCAUUUUUAUAGUGCUAUAUGUGGCACGUUUUGCUCUUAAGAUAUAUAUUUUCAUAUAUUUUGGAAUUUAAACUAUGAUAACUAUUUUUGUCAAAAUUUAUUUAUUUUUAAUCUGUUUUGUUACACCCCACUCUUUCAAAGAAUUAGAAUUAGAAAGAAACCAUUUUUGGAAAUAAUCAAAUUUUGAAAGUUUGACAAAUUAAGCUAAGUAUGAGUUUUGGGUCAACUUCAAACGACCAUAACGCACAGCACAUGAAGAGUUUGUUAGGAUACAUGACAUCAAAUUAAAGGUCUUUGAAUUAUCUUUCCAACUCCACCAAGUUUUAUCAGUUUCGAGUUCAUAUGAGGGAGAUAUGCCCAUUUGAAGUCGGGUUGUCUGAAUAAGGAAAGUCAACCAAAUUUUAAUGGGGUAUUUUGGACUUUUCCAUACCCCAAGUUAGCUAAGUAUGAGUUUUGGGUCAACUUCAAACGACCAUAACGCACAGCACAUGAAGAGUUUGUUAGGAUACAUGACAUCAAAUUAAAGGUCUUUGAAUUAUCUUUCCAACUCCACCAAGUUUUAUCAGUUUCGAGUUCAUAUGAGGGAGAUAUGCCCAUUUGAAGUCGGGUUGUCUGAAUAAGGAAAGUCAACCAAAUUUUAAUGGGGUAUUUUGGACUUUUCCAUACCCAAUUAAUUUAUUUCAUUUUUGGUAAUUACUUAGGGGUCUAAACUAAAUUGGGUCAGUUCACGCAGUCAAAGAUUUCACACUAGGGUUUUUAGAGAAAGAACACAAGAAGAGAAAAGAGGAAAAAGAGUCAAGUUUCGUCGUUCUUGAGAUUUUUCUUGUGGAUUUCGCAAAGGGUUAAUCCCUACGAGGUAUGUGAGAUCACAUAGCGUUGGGUUCGUUCACCCACGCGCCAAUCAUGUUUAAUUCAACGUGUUUGUUUCUUGACAGAAGAGUUUAUGAGCUCUUGAUGAAUAUUGUCAAAAGUUUCGUUUGAAUCUUGAUUGUUGAGUUUUGGAGGAGUUCUUGAGUGAAUUGCAUGAGUUUUAAGGUUGUUUUUUGAAUAGAAUCUUGCAUACUUUGGUUGUGUAUUCGAAUCUAUGUGUUUGGGGGAGAAAUCAAUCGAAACUAUAGGGUUCAGAAUUGAAAAACGAGCAAGAAAAUUUGGGGAUUUCUGGGCAGGGGCAUGGGGAGCCGCACCACUUAUAUCACCCCAAACAAGUGUCUAAAGUUUUGGCUAUGGGGCACCGCGCCACUCGGAGCACCCCAACCCAUCUUAUUAAGUAUUGGGUCUGGCGCCCAGAGCCACUCAAAGCGCCAAGGAGCUAGGUCUUCUACCCUUUCCCACUUCAUUCAAUUUGAGUUCCAUUGAAUCGUACCUAUGUUUUCUAAUUGAUUUCUAAACGCUUAUGGUGCAUCUAAAUAUCAUGAUAGCAUCCAUAAAUAUGAAUCAUAUAUUUGAAUCCAUAAAUUCAAAUUCAAGGAAAGUUAAGAGUCAAGUCUAGAAUGUUCUUAGAAUCUUUUCAAAAGUCUUGUGCAAAUGCUUUAAAAUUGUUUUAAGACAUGAGUUGUGAGUUGAGUAUAGAUUGAAGAGUGAAUUUCGUUUCUUCAAAAGAGUAUAUGGGGAUUAUGUAUUCCCAAAGAUUAAAUGUUUUCACAUUUAAUCAAGAAAGGAAACACCGAUUUCCAACAAAGCCUUUGAGCUAGUUUUCAGUAAAGAGUAAAUGUUUUCACAUUUAAUCAAGAGCGGAAAAACUGAUUUCCAAGAGAGGCUUUGGGCUAGUUUUUGAGCAAUUAUCUCAUAUCACCUUAAGAGUUAUGUGUUUAAAAAUAUGAGCUAGUUAUAAUUUGGGAGUAUUAUUCAACACCGAUAUGGGGAAGAGUUCAGACAAAUCACAGCCCCCAUAAACAAUGUAGCCAAUAUGGGUAGAAAAGGGUCAUACUUUUUAGAUGAUUCAUUAGUGCUUUGUAGCAUAAACUAGUAGAUCCACUUAGUAGUAGGUUCUAUAACCCCGACAAGGAAUAGGACGACCCUGGCAACGUGAGGCAAAAUGUUGCAUCAUCACAUAGCUCUAAAGUGAUGGUUGUCGGUUAGAGAAACUCCCCUAGUUAAAUUUUGUAUUCUUAUAUACACAGAUAAUACUUGUAUUUUUACAUACAGAAAGAUUUUAAAUUAUAUCGUUGUAUACAAACUGAGUUACCAUUGUAUUUCUAAAUACAUAGAGUUGUUAUCCAUAUUUUAAAACCUUUUCCUUAUAUUGCAUAUAUAUUGUUGCUUUAUAUUGAAGUGAGUUGAGACCAGGUAUGUUCCUUCAGUUCCUUAUAUUGAAAUGAGUCCGGGAAGCAGAAGAGCAAUGCUAACCGGUCAUUCUUCCAACAGAAACAAAAAAGACGUGGUCCAUCAUCUGCUAGUGCACCUACACCAAGGAACAAAUGUGAGUUCAAUAAUCAGAAUUCACAGAGUUGUAGAGCUAGACCUGAGCAUUCUCAGGGUAGUACGGCACAAGGGGGUAAUAAGACUUUUGAGUGUGCUAAGUGUGGUAGGAGCUUCCCAGGGGUGUGUCGUGAUGGCUUCACUCGUUGCUUCAAGGGUCGUCAAAACGGUCAUUUUAUGAGAGAUUGUCCUAAGAAAAUGUAAGAUAAUGGUCAUGGGGGCAAUAGAGCCCAAUUUUCUUUAGUUGCUCCACCAAACAGACCUGCAUCUAGAGGAGCUACUUCAGGGGAAGACAGAGUAGCAAACUGUCUUUAUGCUAUUACUAGUUGCCAAGAGCAAGAGGAUUCACCAGAUGUUGUCACUGAUAUGAUCCAAGUCUUUAACUUUGAUGUUUAUGCUUUGCUAGAUCCAAGAGCAACUCUAUCUUUUAUGACUCCUUAUGUUGCUAUGAAUUUUGAUGUUCUUCUUGAGAAACUUCUUGAGCCCUUUAGUGUUUCCACACCUGUUGUUGAAUUUAUUCUAGUAGAGAGAGUCUAUUGUGAUUGUAUAAUUUUCGUCAAUCACAAGAUUACCAUAGCUGAUUUAGUUGAGUUAGAAAUGGUAGAUUUAGCUGUCUUUCUAGGUAUGGACUGGCUUCAUGCCUCUUAUGCCUCAGUCAAUUGUAGAACUCUAGUUAUUAAGUUUCAGUUUCCUAAUGAGCCAAUUAUAGAGUGGAAGAGUAGUUCAGCAGUGCCUAAGGGUCGUUUUAUUUGGUAACUUAAGGCGAGAAAGUUAGUUUCCAAGGGGUGUGUCUAUCACUUAGUCCGAGUUAAUGACUCUAGUAUUGAGAUUCCUCUUAUUCAGUCAGUUCCAGUAGUAAAAGAGUUUCUAGAAGUCUUUCCAGAUGAUCUUCCCGGAGUCCCUCCUGAGAGAGAAAUAGACUUUGGUAUAGAGAUUCUUCUUGAUACUCGUCCUAUAUCCAUCCCUCCAUACAGAAUGGCACCAGCAGAGUUGAAAGAGUUGAAAGAGUAGUUGAAAGAUCUCCCAGAGAAAGGUUUUAUUCGACCAAGUGUCUCAGCAUAGGGCGCUCCGGUCCUAUUUGUGAGAAAGAAAGAUGGUUAUCUUAGAAUGUGUAUAGAUUACCAUCAGUUGAAAAAGGUUACUAUCAAGAAUAAGUAUCCUCUUCCGAGAAUUGAUGAUCUUUUCUAUCAACAUUAAGGUAUCACUUAUUUUUUGAAAAUAGACCUCAGAUCAGGCAACCAUAAGUUGAGAGUAAGGGAAUGCGAUAUUCCAAAGAUAACUUUCAAGACCCGUUAUGAUCAUUAUGAGUUCCUAGUUAUGUCCUUUCACUUGACCAAUGCACCUGCAGCGUUCAUGGACAUUUUGAAUAGAGUAUUCAAGCCUUUUUUAGAUAUGUUUGUUAUCGUAUUCAUUAAAGAAAUACUAAUCUAUUCGAGGAAUGAAGAAGAUCAUGCUAGUCAUCUAAGAGUAGUUCUCCAAACUCUAAAUGAUAGAGAGUUGUAUGCUAAAUUCUCUAACUGUGAGUUUUUGCUUGAGUCUGUGGCAUUCUUAGACCUCAUUGUUUUCGGUGAUGGAAUUAGAGUUCAUACCCAAAAAAAAGAGGUAGUGCAGAAUUUACCUAAACCCACAUCUCCAACUGAUAUUAGAAGUUUCUUGGGGUUGGCAGGAUAUUAUAGAAGGUUCGUCGAACGGUUCUCAUCUAUUUCAACUCCUUUGACUAAGUUGACUCAAAAAAUAGUGAAGUUUCAAUCGUCUGAAGCUUGUAAGGAAAGCUUUCAGGAAUUGAAAACUAGGUUGAUUAUUGCCCUAGUAUUGACCUUACCAGAAGGUACGCAAGGUUUUUUUGUAUAUUAUGAUGCGUCCCGAGUUGGACUGGGUUGUGUGUUAAUGUAGAAUGGUAAAGUUAUAGCCUAUGCCUCUAGGCAGCUGAAAGUUCACGAGAAAAAUUACCCAACCCAUGAUAUAGAGUUGGUUGUCAUAGUAUUUGCUUUGAAAAUAUGGGGUCACCAUCUUUAUGGUGUUCAUGUGGAUGUGUUCACCGAUCACAUCAGUCUCCAGUAUAUGUUUAGUCAGAGAGAGCUUAAUAUCAGACAGAAGAGGUGGUUAGAGUUACUCAAGGAUUAUGACAUGAUUAUUCUAUAUCUCCCAGGAAAGGCUAAUGUUGUUGCUGAUGCUUUGAGUAGGUUGUGUAUGGGUAGUAACGCCCAUGUUGAAGAGGAGAUGAGAGAGUUAGCAAACGAUGUGCACAGACUUGCACGAUUAGGAGUUCGACUAAUGGAUUCCACAAAAGGAGUAGUAGUGGUGAUGAAUGGGGCUGAAUCAUCAUUAGUGUCUGAAGUAAAAGAGAAACGGAAAAAAAGAUCCUAUUUUGCUUGAAUUGAAAGAAAAUUUUCAUAAGCAGAAAGUAAUGACUUUUGAAUAAGGGGGAGAUGGUGUAUUGAGGUAUCAAAGUAGGUUGUGUGUACCACGGGUAGAUGAACUCCAAAAGAGGAUCAUGGAGAAAGCUCAUAACUCCAGAUAUUCUAUCCAUCCAAGUUCCACAAAGAUGUAUCAUGAUUUGAGAGAAGUAUAUUGGUGGAAUAGUAUGAAGAAAGGUAUUGUUGAGUUCGUUGCUAAAAGCCCAAAUUGUCAACAAGCAAGAAUAGAGCACCAAAGGCCCGGUGGUAUGGCUCAGAAUAUAGAACUUCCGGAAUGGAAGUGGAUGAUGAUAAAUAUGGAUUUCAUUACAGGUUUGCCACGGUCUCGCAAGCAACAUGAUUCGAGUUGGGUGAUUAUGGACCGAAUGACUAAAUCAGCCACUUUUUGCUAGUAAAGACCACCCAUUCAGCAGAGGAUUAUGCCAAGUUAUAUAUUCAAGAGGUAGUAAGACUUCAUUGAGUUCCAGUUUCAAUGAUUUCAGAUAGAGGUGCAUAAUUUACUUCACAGUUUUGGAAGUCAUUUCAGAAAGGCUUGGGUUCAAAAGUUAACUUGAGUACUGUUUUUCAUCCUUAGACAGAUGGUCAAGCAGAGCGCACUAUUCAGACUUUAGAAGAUAUGUUGAGGUCUUGUGUGAUUGAUUUCAAACGAAAUUAGGAUGAUCACCUAUCUCUCAUUGAGUUUCAUUAUAACAAUAGUUACCAUUCUAGCAUCUAAAUGGCUCCAUAUGAAGCUAGUUUGAUAGGACCAUACUUAGUUCAUCAAGCUAUGGAGAAGGUGAGAGUUAUUCAAGAAAGGUUGAAAACAAAGUAGAGUCAUCAAAAAUCCUACAUUGAUGUUAGGAGAAGAGACUUAGAGUUUGAAGUAGAUGAUUAGGUAUACUUGAAGGUUUCACCCAUGAAGGGUGUUAUGAGAUUUGGUAAGAAGGGGAAGCUUAGUCCCCCAUAUAUUGGCCCUUAAAGAAUAUCCAAGAGGAUUGGUAAUGUAGCUUAUGAGUUAGAGCUAGAACUACCCUAAGAGUUAGUAGUGGUUCAUUCAGUGUUUCACAUCUUUAUUUUGAAAAAGUGUAUGGGAGAUCCUUCACUAAUAAUACCAACUGAAGAUAUUGGUAUCAAGGAUAGCUUGUCUUAUGCGGAGAUCCCGGUUCCGAUUCGAGACCACCAGGUUUGCAAGUUGAGAACCAAGGAAGUAGCAUCAGUCAAAGUUCUUUGGAUAAAUAAGUUUGUUGAGGAAGUUACUUGGGAAGCUGAGGAGGACAUGAAAAAGAGAUAUCCAAAUCUCUUUGAGCCCAGAGAAAUUCAAGUUCAAGGUACUAAUUCUCUUCAUAACACUCUUUAAUUGAUAUACUGAAUGUGUUAGAUUUUCUUGUUGGGUGUUUGAGCUGAAUGUUAGAUGUUACACUCUUAGCCUACUAAGAGUAAUAUCAUUCGAGGAUGAGUGUUCCCAAGGGGGAGAUAUUGUAACACCCUGCUCUUUGAAAGAACUAGAACUAGAAAGAAACCAUUUUUGGAAAUAAUCAAUUUUGAUAUCAAAUUCCGAGAUACCUUUUGUUCUAUUAAGGCUUUUCAACUUAAUAUUCUAGAGAGAACUAGUCAAUCCAACAAAACUGUCUGGAGCAUGUUAGGUUCCGAUAACUUAUCAGGCUUUUCAACCUCUAAUUCUAGAAGAUGCUACAUGUGAUGUUUAGUUCUUAGUCUUGUAGUAUACUCUUAUGUUUACCCGACUGAAUUAUGUGGGUUAAGUAGGUUAUUGUUUGCACAUUCAUCAUGGGGUGCCUUUGUAUGUGCAUUCUGAACUUAUGAGGGCCUAGUUAGGUUUAGAUAGAUUUUAUUACUUUCAUAAAUUGUUAUAGUAUUUUUACGAUACUGCAUGCCUAGUUAUGACUUACUGUUGUCCUUAAACCUCGUUAUACUAACAUUUUAUCUAGUUAUUACGAUCACAAGCUCGGUUGGCCUAGAAUGCCUACAUAGUAACCAUUUUUUUUACUCAUACUACACUUUCAUAUUAUCCCUAAUGCAUAUCCGAUAUCUAGUCGCAUGUGGUGAUUAACAUGUUGUUGUUGAUAGUUUAGAGAUAGAGGAUGAGCUUAUUGGCGAUCAGAGUCGGCUCAUCUCUUUAUUUGUAUAGCUUUAGUCCAAUAUUUUUUAUUUUGGGAUAGUUUGUAUAUUUGUUGUUUAUGUCGAGUCGUUACUAUCUUUUUGUAGUAGCUUUUCAUUGGCAUCCACUACGUUUUGGGUGAUAUCUUGUAUGUUUUUUACUGUCCAAGGAUUUAUAUAUAUACAUAUGUAUAUAUAUAUAUAUAUAUAUAUACACCAAUUUCUAGGUACGUGCGUUGCACAUGUAUCCCAUACUAAUUAAUACAAAUAUUUUGAAGUAUAAAUCAUAGAAAAUGUGUGAUGAGUUGCACAUAAUAUUUGAAGGCCGGAAAUAAUGUCAGUUUAAACUGAUGACUAGAUUCAAGUUGUAUUUAUAAAUUGUUCUCGAUGAAUAUGAAAUAGUAUAUCAUUUAUUUGCUGCAAAAUUUUGUUACAACUAAAUAAUUUUGGAACAACUUUAACAUUGUAUUGCAAAUAUACAAAAUGUGUCGUUAGCCAAUUUUCCUUCUUUAUUUUUUUGCUCAAUAUUUCUCAUGCAACACAUGAUUUCAAUUUAAAUAUGAUCAAUAUUAGUUAUGAUUUCAAAUACCACACGUGUAAAAACUUCUACGGGUGGUUUAAGAAAUAGUAGUCUCUUUGGUUUUAUAGUGGCAUAUGUAUUAAGAAGUUGUUAUCAAUGCAAAUGAAAGGAGAAAUGAAAAAUCACUUCAGGUAAAUCAUGUUAAAGAAUAGAGAGAAAAUUUUGCCGAGAGAUAGAGUGGUAAAACUAUAACAUUGAAACAAAAAGAAUUGGGCCACUAUUAUGUUGGCUAAAGUGAUGAACAACUACUCAAAUAAGAUAUUAAGAAUCGGAGAGAAAAACGUUAUCAUUUCUUAUGCUUCAGAAAGCAACGAUACAUGUUUUAAGUAUUACUUGGAAAAAAAGAAACCUAGAGAAAAUAAUAGUGCACUAGUUUAGCAGUAACCCAUGACCUACUAGCUAACAUAAACUAUUUAGGACUCCUAGAGAUAGUAAACUUGAAACAUUAAGGACUUUUAAAAGUAUGGCCACCAACAUCACUUAACUUUUGAAUCAGUCAACUAACACUUCUCCUUGAUUAAAAAUCACACACUCCCAACUGCAACCUAAAAUAUUCAUGCUUUACUUGAGGAAGAAACUUUAUUAAAUAUAUUUGUUGCUUGCUCGUUUGUGCUGCAGAAUUUCAGCACUAUUCUUCCAUCAACUACAAAUGCCCGGAUAAUGUGAUAUUGCACAUCAAUGUGCUAAAUUCUCCCAUGAAAAGAGGGAUUCUUAGCCAAGGAAAUUGUGGAUUUGCUAUCCGAAAAAAUGUCAGUAGACUCUUUUUGCUAGUAACGAAAAUCCUGAAGUAGUUUCCAGAGCCAUAAAGCUUGUUGUCCUUCUUCUUUGAACUCCAUGUCACAGCUCCAGAACAACAACUGAAACAACUUUUUUAAGUUCUUUUAUGGUAAUCCAAGUAGCCUGCAUAAUCACUGUUAGUAAAACCAACCAAUUUGAAAUUUGGUGCUUUAGAAUACCAGAUACCAAAGUCUGUUGUUCCAGCCAAAUAAUGAAGAAUUCAUUUCGCAGCACCAAAAUGUUUCUUUGUCCGACUUGGCAAAAAUCUAGACACAUCACUAACAGAAACUGCAAUGUCAUGUCUAGUGUGUGUUAAAUAAUUCAAGCCACCAACUAAACUUCUAAACAAUUUCGGACUUGUUUUCUCUGUUCCAUGUGCAUGCUGCAACUUUUCAUUGAUAUUCAUCGGUGUAGCUGUUGCUACACAUUUCAUCAUAUGGAAUCUUUUCAAAAUAUCCUCUAUAUAUUUCUUUUGAUAAAUAAAAAAUUCUAUCUUUAUCUUGGAUCACCUCAGGCCCCAAGAAAUAUUUCAUUAAGCCCAAGUCAAACAUGUCAAUGUUUCUCAUCAUACUGGACUUGAAAUCAUUAACUAAACACUUUGAGGAACCAAAAUAAAUCAUCUCAUCAACAUAGAGCCAAACCAUCAAAAAUUCUACAUUACCUUGUUUCUUCAAGUACAAAGUGGGCUUAUUGUCACUUCUUUUGAAUCCGCUAUUCCGAAAGAAUAAAUCAAUUUUACUGUGCCACGCACAUGGAACUUGCUUUAUCCCGUAAAUAGCUUUUCUUAACUCGUAUACUUUGUUCUCAUUUUCGUUAAUAACAAAGCCCUGAGGUUGUGUACCCAAACCUGUUCUUUCAAAUCACCAUUCAAAAAAAGAGGACUUCACAUCAAAUUGAUACACGAGCAUUCAUAAUUGCGUUGAUAAAGCCAAACAACGCUCACUAUUUCAAAUCGUGCAACAGGUGCAUCAACUAACUUCCAUGUAAAGUUUUCUUCCAUUAAUCCGCUCUAUCAAGUAGUUAGAUACUCGUGGGAAUUCUUGCCCACAACCCCAAAAAACAUGGAGGUUAAAGUUUCAAGAACAUUUCGGAGCAUUUACUUAUACUCUAGCGGCAUAGCUCUAGCAACAAUCACGGGUUGGGUACCCCUAGGUUAUAACUGGGCUGGAGGUGCCUCGAUUGUAGGCUCAUCUUACUGCACAAGCGCUAGCGCAUGUUUCGGUAUUGGUGUUGUUUCUAGAGGUGGGGCCUUCUGCAUGACCCAAGCAGUGUCAAUAGCUAAACAAUGGCUACCUAAAGAUCUGGAACAAUAGUAGGUCCAGGUGGUGGCUAAGCUAGUGCUAUGCUUACUUGAUGAUCUAGAACACUGGCUUCUGGAGGGUCUACUACAGGCUGCAAUCUGUUGUCUCUAAGAGGGGGUGGUUGUGGUGUACCCCUACAAGGUAAGAGAGGUCAACCCCUACAAUGAUCCACCGCAUGGUGCGUAUUAUCCAUCCAGUGAAAAGGGUGAAAAGAGUGAGAUUUUAAGACAUCAGUAACACAGACGGUGCACGAUAGAGAUCCAAAGGAGAAGAAAUCAUAAUGACACCCUGUAGCCUCCUGAUGUGAUAGUAACACUGAUCACAAUAGUAUUUAUUACAUCAUGAGUAAGAGGGACUUUAAUCCAACACAACCUCACUGUAUUGAGGUUUUGAAGGACUUCGAUAUCUCUAUUCUCUACCAUCCGAGUAAGGUGAAUAUAGUAGCGAACAUCUUUAGUCAAAAGGUUGUGAUUUUGGUUAGUCUGACCUCUUACGUACUGUGGAACGACCUUUAGACUCGGACAUUCAUUCCCUAUCUAAUCAGAUAGUUUAGUUGGAUGUUUCCGAUUCUAGGUGUGUUUUAGCCUGUGUGGGAAUUCAGUCCUCUCUAUUUAAUCAAAUUUGUAGCCAUCAAUUUUAGGAUGAGUCCUUUGUGGCACAUCGAAACCAAGUGUUAAUAGAUGAUACUGGUAAGGUUACCUUAAUUUUUGUCACAACCCGAGCCUACACCCCGGAGGUAACACGCGUACAACACUCCGAAGAGCCUCAUACAAGCCUCAUAGCAUUCAUAACAUAAGACACAAGAAAAUGGUAUGGAAUUUAAGAACUUUUAUCCAUACAAUCAAAGUUUUUAUUUAAAAAACAGUGGAAGUCUAACUUUGUCUCACAUGGACAUCUAAUACAAUGGAGAAUCAAUAAGGGUCACAACCCUUUACAACAUAGAUCGAAACGUAAAAUGACAUGAAAAAUCUAGGAAUGACAACUCUAGUCCUCGAACUAUGAGGACUCACCACUAGCUUUGGAGAAUAGUCAAUCCAAGCUCUGAACCAAAGAAAUCACCUUAACAUCUGGAACCUAUACUUUGUAAAAAUGUAGAAGAAAUAUGGGUUAGCACUAAAAUGCACUUAGUAUGAUAGUCAUGCAUAAAAACCUUGAAAACAUGAUAAAAAGGACAUUUUAAUUGAAAAGCAUGCACAAUAAGGGUGUUACAUUAUCUACCCCUUAAGAACAUUCAUCCUCGAAUGACGAUCUAGACACCUUAGGAAUUAAAGAAUCAUGACUAGCAGCCCAUCAUGCAUGAAACAUCAAAACAAUGCACAAUUUAAAGGAGGAAAUAUCACUCCAUCUCAACAUACGCAAUGCAACAUAAGGAAGUAGGAACUACAUCAAACAACCCAUUAUGCAUGAAAACCUCAAAAUUUAUCAAAUUCAUAGGAGGAACUACCUUCUCCAACUAAAAUCAUGUUCAACUUACUAGCAUGAAACCAAUUAUGCAAUUACUCUCAAAAGCACAAUAAGCUUGUUGACAAUUCAUCUCAUGAAGCAUAUAGGCAACUCAUACUAAAUGCACAACAAUAUGAGGAACAUAAAUCAUAAAAACUCAUUUCUUUACUAAACAUGAAUUUCUCAAGAACAUGCAUAACAUAAGGAGAUCAUGGAAAUUUCUAAAACACACAUGACUCCAAAACAUAAAUCAAGCCAAGAGGAACUCUUUGUCUCAAGCUAGAAUAGGAAUAGAAGAAAGAGAGAUGAGGAUAUCGGGAUUCUCAAAAAUUUUGCUAUCUAAGCAUACCAUCUCCCCCUUGGGAGAAAGCCCUCUACUAAUACCUCAAGUACUACUUCCUUCAAACAAUCCCAAGGCAUAACCAAAAAUCCAUAAUUACCAUCAUGGAUUCUAAAAUCCAUAUCUUAAAACAACAAUAAAUCCCAUUCAUGCUAAAGACAACAUCAAGGUCUAGUAUAUCAAGUCUACCAAGCCACAAAAGAUAAGCAACACUAGAAUCUAAAUAAGCAUAGAACACAUAUUGGUAGCCAUACAAAGAGGAUACUCUUGUCCCCCUCAAGCUUGAGGUGUAUAGAAUCUACCUUCUUUAGAGCACUAGUACCCAAACCACUAAGAGAAGCUUUCUUGGCCUCUCUCCAUUUUGCCUUAAGCACCGGGAAAUCCCUUAUUUUGUGACAACUUCUUCCACAACCAUAACAAACCUUGGAACCCACUAGGCACUUAUCCUUAUGCCUUCUUCCACACCUAGCACAAUCCAUCCAUAGAGGCCUAUCAUUCCAUUCACAAGACUUAGGGCUAGACAACCUCUUUUUCUUAAACCUUAGGGAAGCCUUAGAAGAACUUUGCCCGCAAAACCUUUGUUUCAACUGAAGUAACCAUGCCCAUCAAGCCUUCUUUGAGGGGAAUUUUCAUCAAUCCUAUACCUCUUUGUUUCUUUAGACCCCUCUUCAAGUUUCUCUUUCUCAAUCCCUUCAGCACGAAUCACAAGACAAUCAACAUUCAUAUCAUUCUCAAGCAUAACCAUACAACAUUAUUUUUCUAUUAAGUUGGACAUGCUCGACACAAACUUUCCCAUUCUUGACUUAGGGUCAUCCACGAUAGAUGGAACAUAUCUCGACAACCUAGUAAACUCCCAAGCAUACUCCUCAACACUCAUCCUACCUUGCUGAGGGUUAAUAAAUGCAAGUAUUUGAGCUUCUCUCAUCUCUAAAGGACAAAACCUACCAAGAAACCCAUUCCUAAAUCUUUCCUAUUCCAUGGGGCCCUCUUCUACCUGCCUUGCUCCGUUCAUUGGCUAAAUCACAUUUGGGCAACCUCCUUCAAUUGGUAAGCGGCCAAUUCCGCCUUCUCUACCGGAGUCACUCCCACAAAGUCCAACACCUUAGACAUCUCAUCUAUAAGUUCUUAAGGAUCUUCCUCCAUCUUUUCCCCAUAAAAUUCUAGAGUUUCUAUUUUGUCUUGAGUCAAUAAUUGAAAGCCAUAUCUAAUCUUGUCAUUAGUCAUUAAGUCAACCGGAACUUGAGUAGCUUGAGGAGGAGCUCCCUGAACAACCUUGUCUUCUUCAAAUCCAUCGGUGAAAGAUCCGUUAGUAGUUAUGUCAUGUAAACCACCGGGUAAGGAAUAGAAGAAGGACCUUAUAGAGUUAAACUCUAUCAAACGACUAAAGAGUAAUGAAAGAAGUGUAGUUUCCUAACAUCUUAUAGCCUCUCAUUCAUAAAUGUGGCGUGCUUCACACUAUGAACAAGACUCUACUAGACGUGGCUUAUUAGACAUCAUCUGAGAAUAAUUCAAAACCUUGUGUUGUGAUUACCAAGUUUGUCACGACCCAGGGGUACACCCUAGAUGUAACAUGGCGUACUUGACCCCGAAGGGGUCUCAUACAAGCCACUUAGCAAAUCAUAACAUAGGAUAAAAGAAAUGAUGCAGAAUUUUAAAACUUUAUCCAUACAAUUGACGUCGUUUAUAAAAGCAAGUGAAAGUCUAAACUUGUCUCAAUUAGCCAUCUAAUACAAUAUUUGAAUGAACUAGGUGCACAACCCCUACAACAUAGUUCAAAAAUGAAGUAACUAGGGAGGAACUACAAAUGACUCAUACGUCCUUGAAUCAUGAGGACUCACCACAAGCUAGGAGAAUAGUUGAUCAAAGCUUUGAGCAAAUGAAGAUCACCUCAAAUACCGAACCCUACACUUUAGGAAAAAGGUAGGAAAAUAAGUGUUGGUACAAAAAUGGACUAAGUAUGAUAGCCAUGCAUAAAAAAGUUGAAAACAUGCUAAAAAUGACAUUUUAGAUAAAAAGCAUGCACUUUACCUAGUUUGAUAAUCAUCACGCACAUUAGUGUAAAGCGUAAGUCAUAAGCAUAUUCAACAUAUAGAUCAUCAUAGCAUAAUCGAACAAUCUCAUAAGUAACCCUAAGUUAUACAUGUGCAAUGCAUAGAUAAAGAUCCCAUAAUCCCAUAUAUACUAACUACCACUUUUAGGCCACCAUAAACAUCCUUACCAUUCAUUGGCAUCAUCCUUUAUUAAUACUCAUAGACAAGGAAGCUUUCACAUUUACUAAGUCAUAUAAAGGAAAGCACCUCAUAGUAACAAUGCACAUUAAGAAUACUUUAUUUCAUAAGUCAUCAUAACAUAAAAGGAACACACCAUAACAACUCUCAAAGCCUACUUGUGCAAUGCAUGGAUGAAGUCCCAUACACCCACCCACACUAAGUAGUGCUUCUUGAGGAGCCAUAGUUCAUAGCCAUCUAUUGUGCGGGUAAGCCUUAACCGACAUAGACCAUGUGAGAAAAUCAUGAAAUCGGUGUCAUGACCCACACAGAAAAGAGUUGGUAUACUUGCCUAAGGUAGAACCGGUAACAUUUAGCUUAGGUAGAUCCACUAGCUAAUAACCUAUCUAGGCACAUAGUUAUGGGAUAAGAAGAUUGUUAGUAGAAACCCGAACCUUACUUAACGGGGGAGCCUCAAUCUCAUGAGAUUACUUUUAGAAACCUGGCCUUACUUAACGGAGAGCCUCUAUCUCAUAUUCAAUAUCCACUCGGUGCUAAGCAUUACUUCCCACAAUUACAAGUUUAGUUUUGAAUUGAGUUAACUAGAAUGAAAGAGUGCCUUAACACUCUAUCCAAAACAAUUCAUAAAAUACCUCAUAGAUUCAAUAGGUGAGAAUGGAAUUUCAAUCUUAGAAUCAUCAUAUUGUGACAAAACCUUUCAUAUCAUAUUCAUUAUGUGUUUAUGAAAAUUACCUUUCAAUCAACACAACAAUUAGAUUAUAAUCAUGUUCAUAAAGCAUGAACAUAAAUAUCAUGAUCAUACAUAAUUCUCAUAAUUUUCCCAUCAAGGUCCAUGGACCACAUUCAAUCAACACACCUAGAAUUACUAAAUAAGGCAUGGAUAAUAACAAGAUUCAAGUAAUCAAUUUAUAAAAUUCAUAAUUCUAUAACAUUCUACUUGCAUCAAUCAAUACCCACACUUUAAUAUCCAAUUUGAGAAAACAGGGAAAUUCAUGGAUUCUUGAGGAAUUCAACUUAAAAUCAUAUAAAAUUAUUAAUAUAUUCAUAAACAAUCAUAAUUUAAUCAUUUAAAAUGAAUUUUAAAGGAAUCCAUGACAUUGAAGUCAAACCCUAACUUUUGGGUUUUCUAGCUUUGAAAUUGAGGUUUUUGAAGUGGCUCUAUGGGUGAAGGAUACCUAUAGAUGAAAAGAUACCAUACCUUGAUGAGGAAAUCCAACGAAUUUGAGGAGAAAAACUUGAUUCUUCAACCGUAGCUUCACCUUUCUUCCUCUUCUUCUUCCUUGAAAUUCUAGAGAGAUGAUUUUGGAAUAAAGUUGGUUAUGGAUUUUGGGUUUUGGGAUUUAUGAAGUAAAUGGGUUGGUUAAUGACUUCAAAACUUUUAUAUAGGUGUAUUAAAAUAAUAUUAAAUGACCUCACAUCAUACUAAAUAAAUUAUGAAAUAACCUAAAGACCCCUAGAACUAGCCGACUUGAACCAACUUAUAGACCCCAUCCACGAACCUUACCUACGAGGCGUUGACUAACCCACAUACCAUAUUGGUGGGACGUGGGUUGGGGUCUGCAGCCUCUAACCUUGGACUUGAUCCAUGAAGCUCCACCCACGGAGCGUGGGCCACCCUACAGGGCAUAGGUCCUUCCAUGGGUCACUAUUUUUUGGGUAGUUUUGAGGGUGGUUCUAGGGUCCUCCUCAAGGACCCUUGGUUGGUCCUUGGGGAGUCUUACCUUGAUGUUUUAACCCCUAAACCCUUCAUUCUAAGUACGAGAAGCAAAUUUUAUGACUCUAACACUUACGACAAGCUGUAGUUAAGCCUACUAAUUUUUGUGGUAUAAUAAUAAAUGUACAAUACAACAUAACCGAAACAUAAUGGAUAGCUCAAUGUUUUGACAUGCUAACUGAAAAUGCAACAUUAAUGUACUGUUAAUGAAACAUUUGGAACUAAUGCAUGUAUAACUGUACAAACUGGCCUAACAAGUGUAAUUAAUGAACUAAACGAAUCUACACAACUAGGGUUCUUAAUUUCAUGCGAGGAACUAGGCAGCAGUGUUACAACAACAUGAAAAUCUGAUUAGGAAUAUUCUAACAACUAAUCCACAACAAUUUCUAACAUUCAAGAAACCCUAGGUCUAGAUAAUAUGGAUGGAAUCAAGAAUCUGACUGAAUUCUAGGGACCUAGUGGAAGAAAAUAAUCCACUAGUGAAAUCCCACAUACAUGGUAAGGAAUUUCACAGAGAAAUCAUUCUAUUUUGGGGCAGAAACUGAAGAAGAUUUGUUGCGUUCUUGGAGAGGGUUGGUCAACUCUUUCUCCUCUCUGUGUUCUAAGUUUUAUGAAUUUUGGUAAAUGAAUUGACUAGGGUAGGUUCUAAUUAAGUGACAAGGUUAAAACUGACAAAAACUGCGUAGUUUAGGGGUUAAAUGACGUAUUUUAGGUGUCGAAUGUAUAGGGGAAAAGACCAAAUGACCCUGGAUGGACCGAUGGUCCAUUCUGGUUCGCCAUCAUUCAGGGUCUUAGAGUUCGAUAUGGGGGUCUGACCCAUGGCCCUGGAGCACAAACUAUUGCCUGACCUACAAUCCGUUGGUCUUAGCGUAGGUCAACCCUUAGCUGAAUUUUUCUAGGGGUUCUGGAGGGGGUUGCAGGUGGAAGACCACGGACCUCACCUACGGUCAGUAGGUGGCACCUGUCGGUGGCACCUGCAACUUCUGAAAUGUCUGUUGGUUGAUCUUUCUAGGAUACAGGGUGUUACAAGCUCGACGAGUUGGCACUGACUCCGCCUUGUGUGCCAGAUCCCUUAGUAUUUUUUCUACUCUUCAUUUCUGAAAGCUCACCAAAACAUUUUGAUCCAAUUGGGCGAUAUGCCUUCUCGUUAGGCGAGCCUAAAUACCGUUUUAAAGCUUUAUUCAAAGUGUUUUUGAUUCCGACUAAUCUUCACAACUCUUGUGCUUUACUGUGUACCUUGCAAGUAAUGGCGAGACUGAAGGGUAAGAAUGUGGUCUACUUCGAUACUGAGUCAGACAAAGAGGCUCCUCCUCCUCCUCUCCCUCUUAAGAAAAACUAGGCCUCACCAUUAAUGAAAUAUCUAAAUCGCCCACAAACUUCUGCCUAACAACCAUUUACCCAAGAUAGGGCACAACCUAGGGCGGUGAGGAAGAGGGUGGAAAUUAGAUCCAAGUUGGGUUAGCCCUCAUCUGCAUAGACAUAGAAUUCGAGACUUCUCCCUAUUAUAGCUCCAUGAACCUUGAAUUAGCUCAAAGAGGUAGGAGAACGGACCAUACUCGAGGAGAGAUGACUAUGCAUAGAUGGAUUGAUAAGCGAUUACCCAGCCAUCUAGGCUACAAUUUAGCUCCAUUGUUUUGAAAGCUUUACCAAAGCCAAGAUCCCAUACAUGCCUUCUUGGGUGAGGAAGUUUUUCGCAAAAUAUGCACAUGCACUUCCGAUGAAGCCAAAGGGUACAAUUUUGAAGCCACUUAAAGAAGUGGAAGUGAAAGCGAAGAGAGUCUAGUGCGACAUAGGAGCUAUUAAUACUGCCUAAAAUAUACCUGUAUUUGGAGAUGAUUUGUAUUCAUUCCCGAUGCGCAAUGAUCUGGACUCUCUUAAGGGUUGUCUAGCACCCUUGAUCUCUAAUUUUUCUCAUUCUUGAAUGGUGGAUUAUGCAAAUAUCGAGAAGAAAGAUUUAAUUAUGGUUGCCAGAUAUUGGUUUAGCUUUAUAAGUAGUAACCUGAUGUCAUUGAAGAAUAAGUAUAUUCUUUGCAAUGACAAGCCGGUAUUAGUGGGCAUCAUCGAUUGACAGCACAUACACGUUGGUACCAUUGUCACUGUAGAGAUUCUUAUAAGGGUGACGAAAGACCAGACAUUGCUUACAUUUCAAGUGUUGAUCAGAAAUUUCAGCUUGAGAGAAGGAGUCCGUUUUAGGGCUACUACAUAUGUGACAAUCACAUUACCCUUAUCCAUUGAUAUCCAGAGGAUCGAAGCAGAAUGAUUGUGAGAUUAUACGGCUCGAAGAAAUUUUCUACCACAAGACUCCACUAUAGUGGUCGACCCUGCCACAUUGACAUAUGAAACUAGCAAUUCUGUUCCUUUUGGGGUGCGGGCUGGUAUUCCUAUUCCUUGAUCUAUUGGUGGCUUUUCUCAUUCCACUACUGCAUCUGCACCUUCUACUUCUGUUACCGUUGCUAGUGUAAGGCCUCCCCAUUCUCGUGUUGUCCCUCCUCCCUUGACCCAUGCACUUAUAUAUAAUAUGGGCAGUCUUACCCCAUGAGCAGAUGUUAAAGCUGCUCAAGUUGAGAAGGACUUACCCCGACUCAUUGAUUAGGCUAUCUAUAAUGGCUUCGCUCCUCUACCUGAGCGUAUGGUUAAGUAUGAGAGGACUAUUGUGAUCCACAAUCUAAGAUUAGGUGAUUUUACUGCAAGGAUAGCAGAGUUGGGGAAGGUAGAGGGUAGUUCAAGUGCGUUGGAAACCCUUAGAGCUGAGGUUUCCACGUUGAGGGCUAAAGUUAACCUGAUUCAAUACAUGGAUAUCUUGACACUUUGGGGUAAUAUUCCCCUUUCAUAUGUUGUGGCCCCUGCAGCCAAGAUGCUUAGUGUUGCAUCUUCUUCAUCUAUGCAUGAGGUUGUUGUAGAUGUGGAUGCUAAGGACGAGGAAAUAGAUUAAGACACUAAUGAGGAGAGGUUGAUAGAGGACGAGCAAGGGGUUACUAAGAUCCUGACAUAGACGCAAGAGACGGAGGAGGCUAUCCUAGAGAGGUCCCUUUGAGAGACUACAGAGGUCCAGAGUGCACCACAUUUCUUAUUAUUAAGACGGGAAGUGAUACGCAAGCCGAGCCUUUCUUUCUGCCUCUUGUAGGAAUCGAUGCCCCACUUAAGGUUUCUCCACUAGAGACUUCAGAUGAGAGUGCUCCACAGGCAUAGAAUGUUAAGGGAUCCUAUAUCUCAGCCUCAUAGCAUUUCAUUUAUUUAGCAUCGAGGACACUACUUUUAAUUUUUGGUGGGGUGAGGGCCUUCGUGCAAAUAUUCUCCUUUUGUUUGUAUUUUGUUAUUUUAAACUUUAGUAGUUAAUGUUUUGUUUAUGUUAGAGUGCUUUUCUUUUGGGAAAUUAUGUGUAUUUACUUCAAUUUUUAUUCUCUACCUUUAUGAAUGCAACCCCACAUGAAUUUUUAAAUCUUGAAAUGCUUAGGGUAUUCAUUGACAUAAUUUAAAAAUAAUUAUUUUUCAAUAUCGAGGUCUUAUAUAGUAAUCAUGAUGAGCAUGAUGCAUAGUGUUGAUGUUGAGAGAAUGAAAUUGUUGUGGUUAAACUUUUGAAUGAUCCUAUUGAAUCUUUUGUGGAUUAGAUGUGUUUCGAUGUGAGCCUUGCAAUGAACAUCGCACGUACGCUUUUGCCCUUUUUUGGAUGUGCUAAAUGAGUAUUGUUUGAACUGGCAUAUGUGGUGAGAUUUCACUUGAAAGCAUGCAUGCGGAGUUCUAGAAUUUGCCUUGUUAGUCAAUUUUUUUGAAUCUUGGUAAAUAUGAGACAUGAUCUUUGGCAAAAAUUCAAUGAGGGAACCAAAUUGUUCAUAAACUAUUUGUGACUACCUUAUGAUGGUGUGAAACCUUUUUGGCCCCAUUUUAGCCUAAUCUAUUUAUUGUCAACCAAAAGAAAGCCUUUGAAUUAAAUUGUCUCUACCUUCUUACCUAAAAUCCUUUCUGAAGCAUUUUGAUAAUUGAAUAUCAAACUUAGGCCAAAAGUGUAAGUUGGGCGUGUGGAAAGAAAGGAUAAAUGAAAGCCAAGUAAAGGAAAAAGAAAGAUGUGUUGAGGCUCAACCUUGAAUGUGAAAAAAAAGGGAUAUAGAGAAAAAAAAUGAGAGAAAAGUGAAAAUGAAAAUUGGACCACAUGAAAUAAAUGGGGAUUCCAAAUAAAAUGAGGUUGAGUUCUCAAUUGAAAAGGUAGAAAAAGAACUACAGAAGAGGUGAUGAUGAUUGUAACAACUCUUUGAAAAGGUAAAGUCGCCGAUCUAAAUUGACCAUGCCUUAACCCACAACCCCAUUAAAAGCCUAAAAGACACUUGAGAUCUUGCACGAACUAGGUUGUUUUGUAAUUUGAAGAUAUAGGCAAACCUAUGGGACAAAGAUUUCAUGUAUUUGUUUGUUGAGAGAGUGAGAUUUGCAUUAAUUUCUUAUACCUUUGUUGAAAUUUAUUUGUGAGAGCAUGGAAUCGUUCUUGAUAUGAGGGCACUUGAAUGCAUUUGUUGAAGCAUGUUCUUACAUUAGACAAGAAGCUAUAGUGAGCUUGAGCUAGUGUUGAGACUAGCUAGUAAUCAUGUGAAGUUUUUUAAUCAUGAUUUAGUGUAACAUACUAUUGAGAAUAAUCUGGCUAUGGCAUUUGUAUGCUAGUUCUCAUUGAGUAUUGCUGUAGACACCCAUAUUAAGCUUAUUGUGUUCUUUAUUUACUUGAGGACAACCAAAUGUUUAAGUUGGAAGUGUUGGUGAGUGGUAGACUUACACUCAUUUAAGGUCCAUUUAGCUAAAUAUUUAUUGUCAUCAAUGCCUUAAUAUUGUUUUUUCUCAUAUAAAACUGAUGAUUUUACAUUAUGAAGGCAAUUGGACGAGGCAAGGACUAAUGUUUGAAAGAAGGGCCAAAAUUAAAAAGAAGUGCAAUGUGAACAUUGUUGAUCACCUAGGAUGAAGGGAAAAUUCCCUACUGAACAUGACCUCUUCAAAUUUGAAAGUGCACGACACUUGUUGCUACCAAGGAAGGUGCGCAUAGUGAAAACAGUGGACUUGAUAGUCAUCGCCCAAAGUUACAGCGUGCAAGGUAAUGAUUGAAAGCUCGAAAGUCGGACUUAGGUGGUAUUCGGCCAUUCGCCGAAUGUGAAAGGCUAACUCAAUCAAGUUCGUAAACUGAGGUUCAAACACCUAAAGCCUAGAGCUUCAAAGGGUGAGCUGAGGAGCCAAGGGCAAUCUGUCAUGCAGGUAGGGCAAGCCUGACUAAUGUCACUGAAUUAGUCCUUAAUUGGAUUUUUGGCCAAAACAUGGGAAGUAUAACUAGCCCAAAGAAUAGAAUUGAAAAAUAUAUUAUUCAGAGACAUUUUCAGAAAAAAAAAAAAAAAAAAAAAAAAAAAAAAAAAAAAGGAGAAAAGUUCAAAAAUAUAUUGAGAAAUUGAUAGAGAACAUCUUUCUACCUUUGAAUAUGUAACACCCCAGAUUCGAGAAGGGCAAGACAACAUUUUUCAGAAGCUGCAGGUGCCAUCCGACAGAGGCCACCCACGGCCCGUGGAUGGUACCACGGACCGUAGGUGUGGUCCAUAGAUUUGCCACCCAAAAAGGAGUCAGGGGACCUAGAACCACACCCAAAGCAACGAACCAUUUGUGGGACCAUGGUCCGUGGUUGAUGGCCCGUGGUCUAGACCCCUAAUUCCCACAUUAUGACGCCAGAUGACAGACCGCCAGGAUGUGCUGUCGAUCAGACCACGGUCUGUCAGUCAGGGUCCGUGGGUCGUGGCUGGCAGUUAGUUUUAGGAGCAGUUGGGUCUUUUCCUAAAUAGUCUAGCCUAAUACUAUGUCAUUUUUACCUUCACUAAGACUCGUAUAUAAGUAUUUUAACCCCCAAAUUUCCCCAAUUGAAAUAAAUCUCUCAAAUUUCUAAAUGAAGAUAAAGCUCUUCCUUGCCAAAUAUGUCUCUCUCUAGAAGUUGAAGAAAAAAGUUAGGGUUUUAAGAUCAAGCAUCCUAAUUCUCCAUUCCUUCCAAGCUUUGGGCAUUAAGGUAUGAUAAUCUUCAUUCAUGGAUCCCUUCCAUCCAGGGAGUUCCCAGAUUUUUCAAUUUUAUAAAGUUAGAUCCCCCAUUUAAGUUAGGAUUUUCUUCAAUUGCCAUGGGUUCCUUUUUAAUGUUUAUUUUUUAAUUAAUUUAUGAACUUUUAUGCAUGAAUUGAAGUAAUUGCAUGCUUUUAAGUUGAAUCCCCAUGAACCCAUGUAAAUCCCAUGUUUUCCAAUUAUGAUGAUAUAAUGUGGGUUUAGAUAAUGAAAAAAGAGUUUGAUAAAAUCAUGCAUCAAUUGUUAUAAUUACAUGAAUUUAUGAUGAAACCCAUGUUUAACCCUUGUUUUCUAGAUGUUGAUGAUUGAAAGUGGGUUUUGAACCUUGAAAGAUGAAUUAUGAAAUUAUGCAUGCUCUUAUGAAGUUUAUGGAAAUGUUUUAAGGGUGCUUUUAGAGUGUAGUAUCAAUGAUCUUAUUAUGGUUGUGUUUUUGAAAGGAUUUAUCAUAUACACACAUAGGCAUGAAUUGUGAAAGACUUUCUCACCUGAAAUGAACCAAUGCGAAGCAGCUAAUCUAAUGAUGAGGCAAGAGGUGAUUACCCAUGCUCUCUUAUUGAAUGAUAAGAGGCGAUUAGACAUGACACAUGAUGUAAAGACAAUAGGCGAUUACCCAUGUUCCUUAAAGGACAAGAGGUGAUUACCCAUGUUUCUUCAUGAGCUAUGAUUAAAAGAUCAUGGACAGUGAAAGAUUUUCUCACGCAUGGUGUAAGGAGCUAUACUAUAAUAACACAAGGGGCGACUACCCAUGUCUCUUAAAGAUAAGACAAGUCAAGACUUAAUAACUACUGUUUGGGAAUUAUUCUUAGCACCGAGAGGAUAUUGAGAUUGAAGCUCUUCCGUGUUGAGGUCGGGUUUUCUAGAAGAAAUCUUCUUAUCCCUUACCUAUGUGACCCCAUAUGAUGAUGGUCUAGAAAGACUUUAACUAGUGGAUCCACUUUAGCUCAGAUUCACGGUUCUACCUUGGAAAGUAAGACAACCCUUUUUAGUGUGGGAUACAACGGGGGAUCAUGUUAUCGCUCACAUGGUCUUUAUGUCAGUUAAGACUCAUUCCCAUAAUAAUAAUUAACCAAAGUUAAUUCAAGUAGUAUCUCACAUGUGUUCAAAGAUGAUGUUCACUUGCAUUGAUCAUGGUUUUAUGACUUAUGGUUUCUAACUCUCAAAAAACAUGUUUUAGCUUGAUCAUUGCAUACUUAUAAAAAUUUCCCUUUUAGCAUGAUUUAAAUGUUUUAUGCAUGGUUAUCAUACUUGUUACAUUAGUUUGUACUGACACAUAUUUUUUCCUACAUUUCCCUAAAUGUAGGGUCCGACAGUCAGGGUUCUCAAUUUCAUGGCUACAGGUUCACUUAAGAGAUUUUGAGCCUUGGUGAGUCCCCAUGCUUUGAGGAUGGAUUUUCAUCAUUUCAGUUUUCUUUCCUACUUCCAGUCUUGGACAUGAUGUAUGGGCUAGGCCCAAUUUAUUUCUAUUGUAUUAGAUGGAUAUUGAGACAAAUGUUUAGUCUUCCGCUUCGCUUUUAUAAAACAUUUGACUUGAAAUGUUGUUUUCAUUCCUUUGUCCGAUUCUUAUGUUAUGAAUGCUAAGUGGCUUGUGUGGGAUAUCUUGGGAUCCUAUACGCCAUGUUACAUCUAGGGUGUACCCCUGGGUCAUGACAAACUUGGUAUCAGAGCCAGGUUUAGAAGGGUCCUAGGAUGUCUCAUAAGCCACAUCGAGUAGAGUCUUGUUCAUGAAGGUGAAGCGUGCCACAUUUAUGAAUGGGAGAAUAUAAGAUGUUUAGGAAACUCCGCAUCUUUCAUUACUAUAAAGUGGUACGAUAGAGUGUAACUCUAGGUGUCUUUCUCUCCUAACCCCUAUUUAUGCUUUUCAAAGUAUGCUUCCAUGAUGGAAUCUUGUGAGAUGGAAUAGAAAUGUUCGUGAAAAUGUUAGACAAGAGGUUCCCCAAGUGCCGAUCAACCCUUUGUCCGAGCAAUUGACUUAUGAUGAGUUUCGAGUUGCAUUUCAUGCGUUGGACCAAGCUAUGAUGGCUCAGGCAAAUAGGGAGGUUGUGGCUCCCAUGAACCCAAGGGUGGGUACAAUGGCAACUAGAGUGACAAACUUUAUUAGGAUGAAUCCAUAGGAUUUUCAUGGGUCAAACAUUGAGGAAGAUCCUCAAGAGUUCAUUGAUGAGGUGUAUAAGGUGUUGAUGAUCAUGGGAGUGACGAUGGUGGAAAAGGCGGAAUUGGCCACUUAUCUACUUAAGGGUGUUGCUCAAGUUUGGUUCAACCAAUGCAAAUAAUAGAGGGCAGAAGAUGAGGGUUCUCUUGAUUAGGAGAAAUUUAAGGUUGUUUUUCUUGAUAGGUUCUUUCCCAUUCAAAUGAGAGAAGCAAAAGUAAUUGAGUUCAUUAACCUUCGCCAAGGAGAUAUAAGUGUGAAUGAGUCUGCUUUGAAAUUCACACAAUUGUCUAAUAGGCUCCCACUAUGGUUGCCGAUCCAAGGGCAAGGAUGAGUAAGUUUGUGUCGGAUGCUUCAGACUUAGUGGUCAAAGAAUGCCUAACCACCAUGCUUGUUAAGGAAAUGGAUGUUUCUUUGUUGAUUAUACAUGCACAACAAAUAGAAGAAGGAAAGCUUAAGAAAAAAACUAUGGAUUCAAAGAGGACAAGAAGGGAUGAUGGUGAGUUUUCACAUUCAAGGUCUGAUGGAGCUAAUUGUUCUCUAGGUAAGGAUGGUAGUGAGAAAACGUGUCCCGACUGUAGGGAGUGUGGGAGAAGACAUGAGGGUAAAUGUCUAGCCGGUUCUAAUACUUGUUUUGGUUGUCGAAAGAUGGAUCAUAAGAUAAGGAAUUUUCCUUCCGUUUCUAGAAAUGAGGGAGAUGAUCAUCAAAGGGCACAACCUCACCCUUUCUCCGAUCCUAGUGGUGGUUGGAAACAAGAUAGCUUAUAUUCUCUUCAAACUCAACAAGAUCAUAAGGGUUCCACAUAUGCGGUGAUUGGUAAGUUAUGGUCUUUUAGCUUUGUGGGUAUGGAUUUUUUAGUAUUGAUUCUUGCAUUGACUAUGGUAAGACUCCAUGUAUGGAGAAUUUGUUUGGAGAAGUUAUUGAAAUCCUUGUGGAAACCUCUUAUGUGUUUACUUGUUUCAAUGGUUUAGUGGUUGUUAAGACGUUGGUGUUAUGGUUGGGGUGAGGGAGAUGGAUUUGAAAAGACUAGUGGGGUUUGCUCCAAAGGAGGAGAUAGGGUGCCUCAUGGUUGGUACGUGAGUAGAACUAUGUUGGUUUUGGAAGAGUUCUUUGUCAUGGUUUGGUGGGUGAAUGUUCAAAGGCGAUGUGAUGUCUUAGUAUCUCUAUAUGUUUCCUUCUAUCUUGUAGUCUAGCAUGAGGGCUUAUCCCUCAUGGUUCACUCUUUAGAAUUCGGGUUUCUUAGUCAUCCGCAUGUUUCCUCAUGCAUGCAUACUCAUGUAUAUGAUUUAGUUUAAUUGAUUGUUUCAUGUUUAUGUGCAUUUGAAUAUGAUCUUGCAUGUUUCUCCUAUGAAGAGAUGUUUUAAAAGUAUGAUUUAGCCUGCAGAUGGAGUUUCCUCCCUCGAUAUGUGCAUUUAUGUGAUUGCAUUCAUGUUGGGCUGCUAGGUCUUGUUCCUAUCUUCCUUAGAAUGUUUUGAAUAUGUUCUAGCUUGGAGUCGAGGUUCCUCCUUGGCUAUGUGCAUUUCGAUGAAGUUGCAUUACUAAUUAGGUUGUUAGUUUCCCUGCUACUCUCUUCGUGCUAAUUUAAGUUCCAUUCGAGGUUGAAUGUUCCCAUAGGGGAGAUAAUGUAACACCCCGGAUUCAAGAAGGGCAAGACAACAUUUUCAGAAGAUGCAGGUGCCAUCUAAUAGAGGCCACCCACGACCCGUGGAUGGGACCACAGAUUGUAGGUGUGGUCUGUGGAUUGGCCACCCAAAAAGGGGGGAGGUGACCUAGAACCACGGUCAGACCAACAGACCGUUUGUGGGACCAUGGUCUGUGGUUAAGGGCCCAUGGUCCAGAUCCCCAAUUCCCACUUUCUGACUCCAGACGAUGUACUGACAGGACAGGCCAUCGGUCAGACAAUGUUGCGUCAUUUGGGGUCCGUGGGUUGUGGCUGGCCGUUGGAUCUUUUCCUAAUUAUUUUAUCCUAAUACUAUGUCAUUUUAACCUUUACUAAGAUCCUUAUAUAAGUAAUUUAAUGCCCAAAUUUCCCCAUUAGAAAUCAUUCUCUCAAAUUUUAAACUAAGAUCAAGCUCUUCCUCUCCAAAUAUUUCUCUCUCUAGAAGUUGUAGAAGAAAGUCAGGAUCCUCCAUUGCUUCCAAGCUUUUGGCAUCAAGGUAUGACAACGUUCAUCCAUGCAUUCUUAACAUCCAUGGAGUUCCCAAAUUCUCCAAUUUUGUAAAGUUAGAUUUCCCAAUUAAGUUAGGGUUUUAUUCAAUUACCAUGGGUUCCUUUCAAUGUUGAGUUAUUUGAUUGAUUUAUGAAAUUUUAUGCAUGUAUUAAAGUAAUUGCAUGUUUUUAAGUUGAUUCCCAAUAAACCCAUGUAAAUCCAAUGUAUUCCAAUUAUGAUGAUAUAAUGUGGGUUUGGGUUAUGAAAGAAAAUUUUAAUGAAAUGAAGCACAAAUUGAUAGAAUUUGCAUUAAUUUAUGAUGAAACCAAUGUUUAGCCCUUCUUUUCUAGAUGUUGAUGAUUGAAAGUGGAUUUUAAACCAUGAAAGGUAAAUUAUGAAAUUAUGCAUGUUCUUAUGAAGUUUAUGAAAAUGUUUUAAGGGUGCUUUGACAGUGAAGUAUCAAUGAUGUUGUUAUUAUUGUGUUUUUGAAAGGAUUUUCAAUAUACACAUGUAAGCAUGAAUUGUGAAAGGCUUUCUCACAUAAAAUGAACCUAUGCUAAGAAGUUGAUCUAAUGAUGAGGCAAGAGGCAAUUACCCACCCUCUCUAAUUGAAUGACAAGAGGCGAUUACCUAUUUCACAUAAUGUAAGGACAAGAGGUGAUUACCCAUGUUCCUUUAAGGACAAGAGACGAUUAACCAUGUUCUUUUAUGAGCUAUGAUGAAAAGUUCAUGGACGGUGAAAGGUUUUCUCACGUAUGGUCAAAGGAGAUAUCCUAUUAUAAUGCAAGGGGAGACUACAUAUGUCUCUUAAAGAUAAGAUAAGUGAAGCCAUAAUAAUUACUACGGCGGAAUUACGCUUAGCACCGAGAGGAUAUUGAUAUUAAAGAUCUUACAUGUUGAGGUCGGGUUUUCUCGAAGCAAUCUACUUAUCCCUUACCUAUGUGCCCCUAUAGGAUGAUGGUCUAGAAAGACAUUAGCUAGUUGAUCAACUUUCGCUCAGAUUCACGAUUCUACCUUGGCAAGUAGGACAACCCUUUUUGGUGUGGGAGACCGGGGAUCAUGUUAUAGCUCACAUGGUCUUUAUGUCGAUUAAAGCUCAUUCCCACAAUAAUAAUGAACUAAGGUUACUUCAAAAAUUAUCUCACAUGUGUUCAAAAUUGAUAGUCACUUGCAUUGAUCAUGGUUUUAUGACUUAUGGUUUCUAACUCUCAAAAUACAUGUUUUAGCUUGAUCAUUCCAUACUUAUGAAAAUGUUCCUUUUUGGCAUGAUUUAAAUGUUUUAUGCAUGACUAUCAUAAUUGGUACAUUUUUUUGUACUAAUGCAUACACUUGCCUACAUUUCCCUAAAUUUAGGGUUUGACAUUUAGGGUUAUCAACUUCAUGGCUAGACGUUUACUUGAAAGAUUUCGAGCUUUGGUGAGUCCUCAUGCUUCGAGGACGGAUUUUCAUUGUUUCAGUUUUCUUUCUUACUUUCAGUUUUGAACCUGAUGUAUGGGUUAUGCCCAAUUUCAUUAUAUUGUACUAGCUGGCUAUUGAGACACAUGUUUAGUCUUCCGCUUUGCUUUUAUAAAACUUUGGACUUGAAAUGCUAUUUUAAUUCCUUUGUUCUAUUUCUUAUGUUAUGAAUGAUAAGUGGCUUGUAUGGGGUCUCUCGCGGUCCUAUACGCCAUGUUAUAUCUAGGGUGUACCCCUGGGUCUGUCAUGGCUCUUUUUAGCAUUAUUUAAAUGUUUUAUGCAUGACUAUCAUAAUCGGUACAUUUUUUUAUUCUAACGCACACACUUGCCUACAUUUCCCUAAAUGUAUGGUUUGACAUUCAGGGUUCUCAACUUCGUGGCUAGAGGUUGACUUCAAAGAUUUCGAGCUUUGGUGAGUCUUCAUGCUUCGAGGAUGGAUUUUCAUUGUUUUAGUUUUCUUUCUUACUUUCAGUUUGAACCUGAUGUAUGAGUUAUGCCCAAUUUCAUUCUAUUGUACUAGCUGGCAAUUGAGACACAUGUUUAGUCUUCCGCUUUGCUUUUAUAAAACUUUGGACUUGAAAUGCUAUUUUAAUUCCUUUGUUCUAUUUCUUAUGUUAUGAAUGCUAAGUGGCUUGUAUGGGGUCUCUCGGGGUCCUAUACGCCAUGUUAUAUCUAGGGUGUACCCCUGGGUCGUGACAGAAGAACACUUUUCUAGAUUUUGGGGUUUUACAAUUUUGUACUUGAAUUUGACAAUUGAAAGUUAAAUCCAAAGCGGGGUUGCUCUUUAUUUCUUGAUUUCAUGUCACUCAUGGCUAUAUUGAUGAAACAUAUAAUUUCUUUACCUUUUUUGAAUGUCGAAUAAAACCCUAAUAACUAGGGGUUCUCUAAUGGGGUUAGGUGUUUGUUUAAUGUAGUGGGUAUUUUUCUAUGGUUUGUUUUUGUGUUGUCCAUACAUGAUUUUUUUCUAAUUAUCAUGGGGUAAACUAAUGGGUUAAGGUUGUAAAAUUAAUUCCUCCUUCCAAUCUUUGGUUGAUGUUCAAAACAGAUUAAUUAGAGUGGGUAAUUAGUUCAAUACUAGCAAUUUACAUUUGAUGUUUAUGACUUGCUCGAAAGAGAGGUUAUGGGUCUUAUCUAUUUACCCUAUUCUUGAAAGAGAGGAUAGAAUAAGGUAAUGGGUUGUUUUGAAUUUGCAUAUAAAUGAGACCGAAAGGAUGUUCUAUGCAUAGAUGCUUUGAGAUCGAAAGAUUAUUUGCGGCAAUAAAGAUUACAUAUCCUAUUCAUGAAUCAUCAUCACUAUAGAGAUACAUAAUUACCACUAUGUGAGAUUGACUUCCAAUUCUCACACCUGUAGAUUGUAUAUUAACUCUUGAUUGACUUUCACUGUUAACCAUUUAUUCUAGGUAAGAAACAGUUUUAUAAUCUAAAAAAAUGAGUUAAAAAUAUUUAACAAUAAUCGACUUAAUUUUUAUUUAUUUGGAAUAACAACGUAUUCAAUUUGAAGUCUCUUCUUUCAUAAGUGAAUAUCAUAAGGAAUCUAGAGUAUUUUCAAGCAAUAAUUCCUUCAAGAAUCUAAUAAAAAAUCCAUAUAUCAUCAUAUUAAAGGAAAUAUAACGAAUUUUUUUAUUAACUUGAUUACUCAUUUAUAUAGUUCUGAAUAAUUUAAGUUGGAAGUCGGUUCCAUCUUCAUCAUCAUUGUUAUCUUCUUCGUCAUAAUUGUUGUGUACAUUUUUUUUUGAGAAGGAUUGUUGUGUACAUUUUUCAUCUUAGCCACAUUACGUUUAGUUGCAUUGAGAAUGAUAGAGACCGUUAAAACAUUAUUAUAUAUACAAUGAGUAAAGGACUAGGGUUUUCUAGAUGUUAUUACAAACUUUUGUACAAGAAAAAAGUUUGAAAGAUUUUUUGGACCGAAAAAGCUUGUAAUAAAAUUUAGAAAACCCUAAACCUUAUCCCUCAUAUAUAUUAUGGUGUUUUAAUAGUCCUUCACAUAUUAAAUGCUACUAAACCUAAUGCGACUAAGAUGAAUAAGGUCACAACAAUGAAGAAGAGGAUGAGUGUGAUAAUGAUAAAACAUAUUUCCAACAUGAAUUCUUCAGAACUGAAUCAAUGAGUAUUCAUAUUCAUAAACAUUUCUCUUCAUUUUAUUUCCUUUAUUUGAUGAUAUGUUGAUUUAUCAUUGAAUUCUUAAAUGGAUUAUAACUUCCAAAUGGUCUAGUUUUCUUAGAACAUUCACAUUUGAAUAGAAAUCUUAAAUUUUAAUACAUUGUUGUGUGUAACUAAAUAAAAAUUAUUUCGAUUGUUGUUAAAUAUUUUAAGCUUAUUUUUUUAGUUUUUCUUAUUAAGAAUAAAUGGUUAAUUCAACGUUGAAAGAAGUGAUAUUAUUCAGAUUUCCUAUUUUCAAAUUAAAACAAAACCUUUAACAAUUAUUUCAUUGUUUUAUCAAAUUGAGUAUUCACAUUUGGUGUAUAUAUAUAUAUAUAUAUAUUUGUAAUAUAAUCUAUAUUGAAUAUAUAAUAGUAGUAGUAACGCUUUUGUUUUGAAAUAUCGGGUUUUAUUGGAAAUUGAUAUAAAAAAUAGGUGGAUUUAAUUGGACCCAAAUUGUUGGUGUCAAACUUCUUAUCAAGAGACCAUGUCUAACUUAUCUCUAACCUCUUCCAUAUCAUUAAGACUAUGGAAGUUGUUUGCUAGUUUUGAAUAUUUAAAUCAUGAGGCAUUAUAACUAUCUCAGGUACUACUAAAACGGUUAAAAAAUUAGUUUGUCAAAAGCAGAAGAAUAUAUUCAUACCAGUGUCAUUCAUCAAUACGUGGAGCUUGCAAGAUAAGAAAAUAGUCAAAUCAUGGGAACACAGUCUUUUUCAAUAGUUUAGUUUUGAAUGUUAGCAUUGAUAGUUUAAAACUAGAUAGUAUUUCAUACCCUAGAUAGAGAUUAAUUCUUUUUUGGACAAGAAAUUGUCGAUUACAUUGAGAAAAUAUGAACCCAAACGUUAAUAUCUAUUUGUUUGUUGGGAGCCACCACAACAAGAACAAUCAAAUUGCAAUACAUAUGGGGCAAUCUAGACACUAGAUCCUAUGGCUUCUAUAUGAGAAUCAUAAAAGAGAAUCAGUGUAUGUCAAAAGAUAGGAAGUUCAUUACAUUGCCAACAUAGAGGAAAGGAAAAUUGUUAAUGGGAAACAAUAUACCAUUAUGUCUCUAUGGGGCUUUCCAAGGGAAAAGUAGAAACUCACUCGCUAGUCCUUGUUAAAAUUAUUUUAAGGUAGUGAGAUAUUACAUGUCACAUAACAAAUGUAGUUGAGAACAUCGUGAAGUUAUCACAAAAAAUCCAUGUGAUGCUACCACAGAUCUACAGAGAAGUAAACACACUAGCAUAUUACAUUGUCAAUCAUGCCCUUGAUAAAAAAGAAAUAAUCAUUUUUACUACAUUUAUAUCAUUACCAAAUAAACCAGAGAUAUUUUGAAUUUUCUCAAGCAACAAAUGACCAACAAAAGGAUAAAAACUAAAAAUAUAAAUCAUAUUAGGGAAGGGGAGGAACACAUCAUCAUAAGACUACGAGUACAAUUUUUUUUUAUUUUCUUGAAUGGUCAUACACCACAAGGACAGGACAACGCACAAAUACAAAGGUGAAGGAUUUAACAAAAUACCAACAUCAAAUACACAAGUGAACGAUUGAGCUAAUGCUUCAAGACAAAUUCAACCUACAAUGUCAUUGAUAUUAAAUAAGUUAUGGGGAGUGAGUAAAUCAAGCUAGAUCGGUACCAGAGAAGAACAAUGAUGAGUUAUAUCAUUCGCACAAAAGGCUCUCAGAUAUAUGAGACCCAAAAGGGGAACACUGUUAGAGCAAUCACCGCAUAGAUAGACAAAAAAAUCAAGAUAGAAAAUCUUUACUGUUUCGAAACAUAAAAGUUUUCUCAAAGCUGCUACAACAUUUCCUACAUCAUCAAAGUCAACUUAGUAAUGAUGAGUAGAAGGAAGAAUAUGCAGAGGAACACAAGGAAAUACUCACAAACUAGAAAAAGGAGCUCAACUCCUUGACCAUCAUAGCAGAUCCAGAGCUUUCAUAGGAGCACAUAGGUUUGAGUCAAAUAAAUAACCCUUUGUUUGCAGAUGUGACACUGGUGUGAACAAAUGAG